AUAUGAAACAGGCCGAAAUGAGGUUCCUGCUCUUCGCCAGUUUGAUCAUUUUAGCCGUAGUGACAACUAAAGUAUGGGCGGAGGACGAAGCAACAAGCGAAAAGCCUGCGAUUGUUCCUCCCUGCUUUAUGUUUCACGUGGCAACAACAGCACAAGCAUCAUCACAAUCUGCCCCAGCACCAACGCCUUCGAAAGAAAUGGCUACUCCGUCAAUGAAAAAAUAAAAUUUACUCCAAAAAAGAUAUUUAUCACUUAAAAAUAACACUUAAGUAAAAAUCACGUUAACACAAUUAAUAAUAUUCUUUACUUUAAUAUCUUUUAUUCUUUAAGAAAAGAAGUAAUUUUUGAAAAUUCGAAUCCUGAUAUUUUGUUAAUAAGAUGUUAAAUUGCAAUGAUAAAGACGUUAAUUACGUGC